GACGAACGCUGGCGGCGUGCCUAAUACAUGCAAGUCGAGCGAAAAGGCGCGGAGCUUGUUGCGCUGACGUGAGCGGAGGACGGGUGAGUAACACGUGGAUAAUCUACCUGUAAGAGGGGUAAAACUUCGGGAAACGGGAGCUAAUACCGGAUAAUAUCUUGAAGCACAGGGGUGAAUAGUGAAAGACGGUGUUGCUGUCACGUAUAGAUGGAUCCCCGCCGCAUUGGCUGGUUGCUAAGGUAACGGCCUACCAAGGGAACGAGGCGUAGCCGACCGGAUAGGGUGAUCGCCCACCCGGGAGCUGGACCGCGCUCCAGACUCCUACGGGAGGCAGCAGUAGGCAACGUUCGGCAAUGGGCGAAAGCUUGACGCAGCAGCGCCGCGUGUGUUAUAACGGCCUCCGGUUCGUAAAGCUCGCUUAUUGGGUAAAAACCACUGUGUAAUUAACUAUGCACUUCUUGACGGUACCUAAUCAGAAAGCCACGGCUAACUACGUG
rnacentral:rRNA from 1 species